CUCCCUUUCCUUUCUUCUCUCCAACUCUCUCCAACCGGUAAUCAGUCUUCUCUAUACGUAUACUCAAUGCUUCUUCUUUUCUAGGCAAACGUGGGCUGCUCAUAUUAAUUUGGUAAUACACAAAUGGGCCAGAUAUUGUCCGUGAAUACCUGGCUCCUUUACACUCAUAUCUCCCCUGUUUUGAGGGGUCUAUAAACCUGAGAAUAUUUCUCAUAUUUCAUUGCCAGCAAGAUUUCAGAUACCAUUCAGGCUCUGCCAGUCAGAUGCAUUGGUGAGAGAUUUGGAAGGCAGAAAGGACAAGGCAGUUAUCAUAGGCUUUCUACUUUGUUAAUGGGUGAGGGGCACCCUUUGUCAUUUCAUCCCAUGGAGCUCAAGACUAUGAAGUCAGCAGAGUUCCUGCGUCCUCCAGAUCUGGGGAAGCAGAAGCUCUUCGGUGAUUUGUGUAAAGUUCUGGCAGGCACCAUCCUGCUCAUUGGCAAAGAUAUGGAGGGGUCAAAUAAUGUUAGAGUAAAAAUGAACACAUUUUUAUGCCUCAACUUCGCCCUUCAUUUUAUGAAGGAAGUUACAUAGCUCAGGAACUUGGAGGAAAAUAAGGUGUUUUUAAACAGGAAAUAGAUGUUGACUAUUAGACCAGGAGUUCAUUUUUUUAAUGGCACCACUUUUAUCUGUGACUCAAGACAGUUGGCAUUUCAGUAACAUACUAAUAUAUUAUAAUUGGGGCUUAAAGAGAUAAUUAUAUUGGAUAAUUAAAUGCUUUUGAAAUCAUCUUAGGGUGAUGUUUCUGUUCUUUUUUUCUCAUUUGGUAUUAUAUUAAUGUAAUAUUAAUAGAAAUUUCAAAUGUGUUACUUAAUACACAUUGAUUAAAAAGGGAAAAUUAAAGAGGAACACUUUGAAUUCCUUAUAUAAAUAUAUUAGGAAACGUUUUAAAAAUUUAUUGAGUUUUAAGAAUGAUUCUAAUCUGCACACUAAAAUGGAAAAUAGAUUUAUCCAGAUAAUUGGAUAAAAAAUACGCUCACGGAUAUAUCUAGAUAUUUAAAUCAAAUCUUUGAGGACUUUCAAAAAUUAUUCUCACUUUUUCCCUUUCUUUUUUCUUUGUUGUUUGUUUUUUGGGUUUUUUGGCUGCCUCCACAGCAUACAGAAGUUCUGGGGCCAGGGAUCAAACCCAUGCCAUAGCAGCAACCUGAGCCAUAGCAGUGACAAUGCUAAAUCCUUAACCCGAUGAGCUACCAGGGAUCUCCAGUUUUCUUUUUCUUAAAAAAUUUGAAUUAAAAACUUUAAUUUAUUAAGUGCACAAAGAAUAUAUGAGCACAUUCACAUUACAAAAAUUUGAAACAAUGCAAACCAAGCAAAACUCCCCCAACAGAGUUUCUCUCUCCUCUGAGAGAGGAUGUCAGCACACUGACCCAUGCCACCAUCAUGCUUCUCAGCCCUUUCCAGCAGCCACACUAUGUCAGCGUUACCUUUAUUUUAACGAUGUUAUGGUUGCUAACAAUUUUUGGUAACUUUUUCAAUAUUUUAUAACCUUAAUUAUGUCUUUUGCUUUGUAGGUGGAUUCUAAAAGAUGAAAAGUAAUAAACAACACUUUAUCAUGACUAUAAAUAUUGUUCACUGCAGAGAUAAACAAUGUGAUGUAUUUCCUUCUCUGUCACAAUACUGUUGAUAAUCAAUAUUACAAUGAAUUCUUCCUAUUCUAGUCUCCAACUGCUCAAAAUCAUGCUGUGUUAAAAUUAACAUCACACCUUUUAUUAUAGAGUUUUGCUCUUAUUUUUCCUGUUGUUUUUAAUUACCUUCAUCUCACUAUUUUUUUUUUUUUGCAGCUAUGUGUAACAGUCCAUGGCAUAGAUGUGCUAUAAUUUACUUCAUGUUUAUAUAUAUAUAUACCUAUAUACACAUAUAUAUAUAUAUAUACACACACAUACACACUUUUUAGGGACACACCCACAGCAUAUGCAAGUUCUCAGGCUAGGAGUGGAAUCAGAGCUGCAGCUGCCAGCCUAUGCCACAGCCACAGCAACACAGGAUCCAAGCUACAUCUGUAACCUACACCACAACUUUCUGAUAUGCUGGAUCCCCAACCCACUGAGCAAGGCCAUUUACUGAACUUUCCUCCUCAUGGAUACUAGCUGGUUCCUCACUGCUUAGCCACAACAGGAACUCCUCAUGUUCCAAUAUUGUUGAAUAUUUAACUUUUUUUUUUCCUACUAUGCAUAAUGCUGUUAUCUAUUUAUUUACUUUUGCUUUUUAGGCCUGCACCUGUGGCAUAUGGAGGUUCCCAGGCUAUGGGUCCAAUCGGAGCCCUGCCAGCCAUGGCCACAGCCACAGCAACGCCAGAUCUGAGCCAUGUCUUCGACCUACACCACAACUCAUGGCAAGGCCUGAUGCCUAACCUGCUGAGUGAGGCCAGGGAUGAAACCCACAACCUCCUGCUUCCUAGUUGGAUUGGUUUCCACUGCGCCAUGACAGACAUUCCUAAUUUGCUUUUUCUUGAUUAUUAGUAAGGGUAAGCAUUUUUUCCUAAGCUUAUUGGCACUUGGUAUUUCCUCUUUUUUUUUUUUUUUUUUCUUUUGGUCUUUUCUAGGGCCGCUUCCACGGCAUGUGGAGGUACCCAGGCUAGGGGUCUAAUCAGAGCUGUAGCCACCAGCCUACGCCAGAGCCACAGCAAUGCGGGAUCCGAGCUGUGUCUGCAACCUACACCGAAGGUCACGGCAACGCCGGAUCCUUUAACCCACUGAGCAAGGCCAGGGACUGAACCCGCAACCUCAUGGUUCUUAGUCGGAUUCGUUAACCACUGAGCCACAGUGGGAACUCCUGGUAUUUCCUCUUUAAUGGAUUGUUUUGUUUUUGUUUUUUGCUUUUUAAAAAAACAUUUAGAUUCCUUAUAUAUUUUGAUUGUUAAUUCUUUUCUUCUAUUGGACAGGUUUAAAAUAUAUUCUCCAAGCAUGUUGAUUUUCUUUGAACUUUGCAGUGUCUUCCCUCAAAGAGAAGUUUUAGCUUUGCUAUAUUUAAAAAUCAGUUUUUUUCCUUUAUAGGUUUUGUACUGUGAUUUGCUUAAGAUGUGCUUCCAUAGCCUUAGGAAAUAAUCAUACUGUCCUGUAUGUUUGCAAAUACAUUUAUAGAUUUUCUUUUUACAUUUAGCUCUUUAACCCAUUAAAAACAUUUUGUUUGUAAAUGGUGGGGUCAUUUUCUUCAUUCUGUAUGUGCAUAUGAUAAACUAUAAACAUUUUCCAACUCAUGAGCAGAUAAGAGAUAUGAUAACAUCCUUUCCUUGUGCCUUUUAAAUCAUGCCUUCCCACUUCUUAUUUUUCUCCUACACCUAAGGCAACAUUAGUCAGUGUGAUUCAUUUCAGCAGACCUUUCUAAUGUUAUGAGCAAUUCCACCACCUACUAAAUACCUCCUUUCUCUCUUCAGAAGACAUCACUAGGGCUUGCCUAUAUCCUGUUCUCUGCUUGGAACACAGAAGACACACUGAUCAGAUCUCAUGUGAAGGUUGGGGCUGUGUAACAAGUUUUGGCUAGUAACUUCUAAGUGGAAGUGGCAUGUCAUUUACACAUCACUUCAGGCUGAGGUGUAAACUGCUUGAAACUUGCAGCUUCUUUUCUGAGCCCUGCAUCCUGGGAUGGUGCAGGGAGAUAGGAGAGGAAGAGUGGGCACAAAGAAGCAGCCUGUGUACUGAGAACAGCUGCCCUGGCAAUUUGCUCAACCUACAGUGGACAUGUUGUAAGAGAGAAAUACAGUGUUAAGUCACUGAGAUAUUUGGGCUUGUUAAUUGUAAUAUCAAAAAGCAGACAAACAAUGAUACCAUUUUGCAGUCAACCCUGAUUCUGCUCUUUUUCAAAUUUUUAAAAAAGUUUUUAUGGCUGCACCCAUGGCAUAUGGAAGUUUACAGGCCAGGGAUUGAAUCUAAGCUGCAGCUGCAACCUACGCCAAACUGUGGCAACACCAGUUUCUUUAACCCUCUGCACCUGGCUGGGGAUUGAACCCAUGCCUCUGCAGCAAACCGAGACACUGCAGUUGGAUUCUUAAUCUACUGCACCACAGUGGGAACACCUAUCUUUUUUUUUUUUUUAAGUUGACACAUGGAAGUUCUGGUACUUUAUCUUUCAAAACAAAUCACUUGCAAAAUAACUUGCAACUGAUUUGAAGAACACUGAUACCAUUCACUCAUUACUUAGGUAUAUUUAUUGAAUAUAUACCCAGAACCAGAUUCUGUGAAUAAGAUGAAAAUACAAGAGCUUCUUGCAUCCUGGAAGUUGGAAGUCAUCCCGUAGAAGAGGCCGUGCAGGGAAUUAAGGUUCCAGAAUUAAUUCCCUAAGUUUGAGUCCUGGCUCUUGCCACUCACUAGCUCAGUAAACUUAAGCAAGUUAAUUAACCUUUCAGUGCCUCAUUUCUUCAUCAAUAAAAUUAAGAAUAAAUGAGUUAAUGCAUGUAAAAUAUUUUUGACAAACAAUAGCACUUAACAAAUAAGAGUUAUUAUCACUAUUAAGAACUUCAGCCUGAAAUACACCAGCUGCCUUAAGGGUAUACAGAGCUAUAGUCUCAAAAUAUGGAGCCAACAUAACCAUAUCAUAUCUCCAGUCUAGCAAUUUGCCUUAUGCCUCAGUGUAGUGUACUCAUCAUUAGAAAACUAGCAGAAAAGUCCUAAGGCAGUAAGAAGCAGGGAUUAUGAAAAGUACCUUGUCUGUCAUCCCUCUAUUUUUAAUGUUUAAUUUUUAAUGUUCCAGGUCAUCUGACAUAACAAAAGAUACAAUCUAUUUUUAGAUGGCCUAUAAAAGAGUGAUAAGUCUAGUUUAUGGACUCUGAAAUUCUUAGGACUAUAUUACAAGAACCUUGUAUAUUUAGCUUAUAUGGAUACAUAUCACAUAAAUAAACAUUUACUUAAAAUUGUGUAGGCAGUCACACACUUUCUAUAGAGGGUGUCAGAUUUGUUUUGAACCCUGAACUUAACAUUUAUCUGUUACCCAAGAUCACAGAACUAGUCAGUAGCAGAGUCAAGAUUAGAAUCAUGAAAUCAGCAAAUGAUCUUUCCAUAACAACUCAGUCUUCUAGAGGAAAUAACCACCUUUGACUCACUAGAGCUGCAGUCAACUCGGAAAAGAUAGUAAUAUAUUACACAUGCACAUAUUUUUAUUGCUAGACCGUAUAAUCUUAUCUUCAACUGAGGUUUCAAUAUUUUCUCUGUAAAUACACACCACUUCCUUUGUGCACCACUAUAGCUAAAUUAUUAAUAAACAUAGUAGAAGGAAAAGUCUUUGGUAGACCUGUAGAUCUAAUAUUAGGUCAACAACAGAAUAUCACUCCUUUCCUGCUAUAAAAAACUGCUGUACUUUUGCAUUAUUAUAGCCCCUUUUAAACCACUAAUCAAAUCCCUGAGGGAAAGGGAACUAACAUUUAUUGUGAUGCUAAAAACAUUUAUAUGCUAGGAACUAUGGAAGAGUCUUAACAUAAACACAGACAUUCAACAAAUACAAAUUAAUUUAAAUAUAUACAUUAUGCAUACAUUUAUUUCAGUUUCAUAAGACACACAAAAAAAGCCCACAGAAAAGUGUCUCAAGGAAAAAACUUGCCACCUUUUCAUCAUUUUUAUUGGUGCUGGUCUGAACUUUGGUUUAACAGAAUCACUGAACUGUAACAUGUUGCCUCCAAAGCCAAACCUCUGGGUUUGGGUGUUUUGUGUAUAUAUGUUGAUUAUAAUUAAUAUGUGAUUGUUGUCAGAAUAUGACAUAUGACUAGCAAACUUUUUGCUCCCCUCUUCAUCACCCAAGUCCUCAGGGAGUUUUCCCUGAAGCCCAGGGCAUUUGUGUGUCAUGGCACAAAGUUAAGCUUAAUUAGUUAAAAAAAAAAAAAGCUCUUGAGUCAUUUUAAAAAAGCAAAUUAAAACCGAGGUAAUAACGUCACUUCUGCUAUUUCUUAUUAGCUCACUUCUUGUUCAAUUUAUCUAAAUAUUGGUUUCUAAAAAUAAGAUUUUAUUAUUUUUCUGAGCCUGCUUGAGACUUUUCUUGGUGUUGAAGCAAAUGCCAUCUGACAAACAGCAAGUGGGCUAUUUAGAUUACAAUUGAAGAGUCCGAAGUCAUCUACAGUUCUGAAAAUCUAUGAUUUUAUUUCAAGUAGUGUUGUAGAUGCUAAAACAAUACACAUGCAGUUGGCAGGUCCAACUCUCUACCUCUAUGGGGAACAUGUUAACAUAAAAGUUUUAUUAAGCGUCAGCUCUUUCUGGGAGAGUAAAACAGAAUAUACUGAUUCAAAUGUAUAGUCAGUCAACCAAUGAUAAUUUAGAAUACAAGGUUCAUCUAAGAUCUAUUUUUAGCUGGUUUUGAAUAUCAACCCAAUGGAGCUAAUAUGGAAGGCUUAGAAAUCAAAUGUAGUAUUUUCAUUUUUUAUUCUUAAAUAAAUGUAGAUAAAAUAUUUCUAACUCACCUCAGUUUCUCAUUAAUCUUUAUGUCUCCUAUAUCAAGGAAUAAAGUCAAUGAGUCACAGACAGAGAAGUAACUUAGAGUCUAUGUUAUAUUUAAAGGUAGAUAGUAAUGAAAUUUAACUUCUCUUUAUGAUUAUAGUAAAAUGAAGAUUAUGUCUAUUAUUAUUUAAAGGAUAAAAGAGAAAACAAUGCUUUUGAGACCUAAAAAUUUUUUUUAAAUUUUUUAUUAUUUGUGUGUGUGUGUGUUUUUGCCAUUUCUUGGGCCAUU
rnacentral:lncRNA from 1 species